AGGGCACCACCAGGAGUGGAGCCUGCGGCUUAAUUUGACUCAACACGGGAAAACUUACCCGGCCCGGACACUGGGAGGAUUGACAGAUUGAGAGCUCUUUCUUGAUUCAGUGGGUGGUGGUGCAUGGCCGUUCUUAGUUGGUGGAGCGAUUUGUCUGGUUAAUUCCGAUAACGAACGAGACUCUAGCCUGCUAAAUAGACUGUUACUUACCUCGUUGUCGGUAACAGGACUUCUUAGAGGGGCAGGCGGCGACUCAGCCGCACGAAACAGAGCAAUAACAGGUCUGUGAUGCCCUUAGAUGUCCGGGGCCGCACGCGCGCUACACUGAAGUGAUCAGCGUGCAUAAUCAACCCGCUUUGAUAAGAGUGGGUAACCCGAGGAACCUUCUUCGUGAUAGGGAUCGGGCAUUGUAAUUAUUGCCCGUGAACGAGGAAUUCCCAGUAAGCGUGAGUCAUUAGCUCGCGUUGAUUACGUCCCUGCCCUUUGUACACACCGCCCGUCGCUACUACCGAUUGAAUG
rnacentral:rRNA from 1 species